CGUCGGCAACGGGCGGCAAAGCGGAUGCAAUACCCGAACUGAUUAAUCGUGUCUCUCAUUAAAUAAGUUUUCAUGUGUGUGUGUGUGCGUGUGCGUGUGCCGUGACAGUGUGAAGCGCGCGCGUCUUGCACAAGUUGUUGUCCUCGCCGUGUUUAGAAGCUAAUGAAAAGCCGUUGCCUACUUGCAGGCGGACAGGCCGCAGCAAGUGUUGCUCAUCAGCUGGAGCCGCUUAAAACUGUGCAAUAAACGACUAUAAAGCAGAGGAACAGCUGGAGGAAGCAUGUGCGCUUUAACAUUAAAAUGCCAUUUGCCAGCGCUUGUCAAACUGUGCCCGAGUCGGAUUAAUAAAUUGCGUAAAUAACAAAUUCGA